rnacentral:rRNA from 1 species
UACGAAGGGGGGCUAGCGUUGUUCGGAAUUACUGGGCGUAAAGGGCGCGUAGGCUGUGCUGUAAGUCAGGCGUGAAAGGCCCGGGCUCAACCUGGGAAUGGCGCAUGAUACUGCGGCGCUGGAAGGCGGGAGAGGAUGGCGGAAUUCCCAGUGUAGAGGUGAAAUUCGUAGAUAUUGGGAAGAACACCGGUGGCGAAGGC